rnacentral:piRNA from 1 species
UGUUAGUCUUUAAGAUUAAUUUAGCUAAGGUC